rnacentral:miRNA from 1 species
GCUGACACAUCCCGGCCAAUCUCCAGCAGACCCUCCCUCCCAGACCCUCCCACAUCCUGGACAGCAUCCAUGUUGAAGCUGCCUUCAACAUGGAUGCUGUCCAGGAAGUAGGAGGGUCUGGGAGGGAGGGUCUGCUGGAGAUUGGCCGGGAUGUGUCAG